UACGUAGGGCGCAAGCGUUGUCCGGAAUUAUUGGGCGUAAAGAGCUCGUAGGCGGUUUGUCGCGUCUGCUGUGAAAACCUAAGGCUCAACCUUGGGCUUGCAGUGGGUACGGGCAGACUAGAGUGCGGUAGGGGUGACUGGAAUUCCUGGUGUAGCGGUGGAAUGCGCAGAUAUCAGGAGGAACACCGGUGGCGAAGGCGGUUCUCUGGGCCUGUACUGACGCUGAGGAGCGAAAGCUAGGGGAGCAAACGGG
rnacentral:rRNA from 1 species